rnacentral:rRNA from 1 species
CGUGUAGGCGGUCUCGCAAGUCGGAUGUGAAAGCCCUCGGCUUAACCGAGGAAAGUGCGUUCGAAACUACGAGACUUGAGUACCGGAGAGGGUGGCGGAAUUCCCGGUGUAGAGGUGAAAUUCGUAGAUAUCGGGAGGAACACCAGUGGCGAAGGCGGCCACCUGGACGGCUACUGACGCUGAGACGCGAAAGCGUGGGGAGCAAACA